AUUGAACGCUGGCGGCAUGCUUUACACAUGCAAGUCGAACGGUAACAGGCCGCAAGGUGCUGACGAGUGGCGAACGGGUGAGUAAUGCAUCGGAACGUGCCCAGUCGUGGGGGAUAACGCAGCGAAAGCUGCGCUAAUACCGCAUACGAUCUAUGGAGGAAAGCGGGGGACCGUAAGGCCUCGCGCGAUUGGAGCGGCCGAUGUCAGAUUAGGUAGUUGGUGAGGUAAAGGCUCACCAAGCCGACGAUCUGUAGCUGGUCUGAGAGGACGACCAGGCACACUGGGACUGAGACACGGCCCAGACUCCUACGGGAGGCAGCAGUGGGGAAUUUUGGACAAUGGGGGCAACCCUGAUCCAGCAAUGCCGCGUGCAGGAAGAAGGCCUUCGGGUUGUAAACUGCUUUUGUACGGAACGAAACGGCUCUGGUUAAUACCUGGGGCUAAUGACGGUACCGUAAGAAUAAGCACCGGCUAACUACGUGCCAGCCGCCGCAGUAACAC
rnacentral:rRNA from 1 species